UAUUAAAAAACGCCUAAUUUCUAUUGAAAGCGGGGGAACCAGUUAUUAUGGGGUGAACUACCAGUGUGUAGCGGGCUAACUUUCUGUCCGAACCCGUCAGCUAACUCCGUAGGCGUAGAAAGUGGGGAAAU
rnacentral:sRNA from 2 species